CUCCUCGGGAGGCUGCAGUAAGGAAUAUUGGGCAAUGGACGCAAGUCUGACCCAGCCAUGCCGCGUGGAGGAUGAAGGUCCUCUGGAUUGUAAACUUCUUUUCUCUGGGGCGAAAAACAGGUUUUCUAACUUGCUUGACAGUACCAGAGGAAUAAGCACCGGCUAACUCCGUGCCAGCAGCCGCGGUAAUACGGAGGGUGCAAGCGUUAUCCGGAUUCACUGGGUUUAAAGGGUGCGUAGGUGGGUUGGUAAGUCAGUGGUGAAAUCUCCGAGCUUAACUUGGAAACUGCCAUUGAUACUAUCAAUCUUGAAUACCUUGGAGGUGAGCGGAAUAUGUCAUGUAGCGGUGAAAUGCUUAGAUAUGACAUAGAACACCAAUUGCGAAGGCAGCUCACUACACGGUCAUUGACACUGAGGCACGAAAGCGUGGGGAUCAAACAGGAUUAGAUACCCUGGUAGUCCACGCCCUAAACGAUGGAUACUCGACAUCAGCGAUACACUGUUGGUGUCUGAGCGAAAGCAUUA
rnacentral:rRNA from 1 species